AGGCAGGUACUUUUAGAAUAUAAUUGAAGUGUUUUAUUAUUAUUGUCAUUGCUUAAAGCAUUUGACACAUAACUAUCUCUAACUCCAUUCCAUACUAAGAGAUGUUGCAUCUCAAACAU
rnacentral:snoRNA from 1 species